AGCAGUAUGGUGUAAUGAUGCACACUGGACGGUUCUGAGAUUGCUUGUAAAAGGUCCGUUGAUUCCCGAGGUCCUUGUUCGAAUCAAGGUGCUGCUC